rnacentral:SRP_RNA from 1 species
GCCACUGCAGGUGCGGUGGCGCAUGCCUGUAGUCAAAGCUACUCGGGAGGCUGAGGCUGGAGGAUCUCUUGAGCCUAGGAGUUCUGGGCUGCAGUCGCUAUGCCAAUCGGGUGUCCGCACUAAGUUCAGCAUCAAUAUGGUGACCUCCCGGGAGCGGGGGACCACCAGGUUGCCUCAGGAGGGGUGUACGGGCCCAGGUCGGAAACAGAGCAGGUCAAAACUCCCGUGCUGAUCAGUAGUGGGAUGGCGCCUGUGAAUAGUCGCUGCACUCCAGCCUGGGCAACAUAGCAAGACCCCGUCUCU